rnacentral:lncRNA from 1 species
UCCUUCUUCCCUCUUUCCAUCCCUCCUGUUUCCUUCUUCCCUCCCUCCCUGCCUCCCUCUCUGUCUUUGUUCCUUUUCUUUGUGAUAAGACUCGGUUUAACAUAGUCAUAAAACUUACUUGCUUUAUGGUGGAUCAUGAGUGGCAGCUUAAUACAACUGUGAUAUAUUAACAGAUACUAUGAUCCACUUUUCUGAGGCAAAGCUUAAUAAUUGAUUUGUAUAAUGUGAGAGAGAAGAAAAAUCUGAGAGCUUUAAAGUAAUUUACAGCCCCAUGCCAUACUCGGUGUGUUUUUAAUGAGCUUCUCUAGAUCUACAGGCAGUGAAAGUUUUCUCUGCUGAUGUACAGGGCAACUUGUCAAGACAUCCUGCAGGGAAGUGUGUUCAAAGAAGGUCAGCCAGGGAAUGGAACUGCAUGAGGCGAUGCUGUGGUACAUAAUUGACUUCCUGUUUCUCUGGAAAGUGAUAGAAGAAAUAUCCACCAAAUGCCCUCUCUGAGCCAAGCAUUAUGUUGUGGAGAUACACAAUUAAGACAUCUGCAGAUGAAGAGAUUGCUUCGCUUCAAACCUCCUGACUGCCAUGGAACCAUCUGGCACAUGCACGUGUGUGGGGAGGUGAGACACCAGCUAACACUAAAGUCUUCAGCUGGUAUGGCAUUAUUUCUUAUGGAGUGUUACAGUAGCGACCGAGGUGACACUGAAGGAAAAUUCUGUGACAGUAUGUUAAGUAAGAUAUUACUGACAGCCCUGCUGAGCGGCGAUGCAGAACUGCAUGUCGUGGAUCUAUUCUCACCUCUUCAGCCCCCACCAAAUGGUCUCCAUUUGUGGCAUGUGCAAGCAGAAUGGAAACAUGAAUGGAAAAUCAUGUUCUUUUUUUUGAAUUCACUUGUUUGCAUUCCAUUAAUAGGGCUGGGAUGGAGGCUCAAAUCUGGUAUAAAAGAUACAUUUAUCAGUCCUGUAUCAUACUGUUGUACCUUUCUACCAGAGGUAGGAAAAUGGAGAGGCACCAAUAGGCCUGAGUUCUAG